AUGGACCCUAGCCCAUAUAUUUUGUGUUGGAACGUGAGAGGUCUAAACAACCCAGCCAAGAGAGACGUUGUGAGGGAGUUUGUCGCCACCUUAAGAGUUAAUGUAGCUUGUCUCCAAGAAACUAAGAUGGAAGUCAUUGAUCGCAUCACUGUGCUGCAAUGCCUUGGGCCGUCCUUUGAUGGCUUUGCUUUCUUGCCUGCCGUAGAGACGAGAGGAGGAGUUCUCAUUGCCUGGGACUCGACCAACAUUGACAUAGAUUACUUACAGCUGAAUACGGAUUUCAUCUCAGGGAAAGUUGACACGAGAUACGGGGCGUCCUAG
rnacentral:rRNA from 1 species